CAGAGCCUCUGGGGUUCACCACAUAUGAUAUUCAGAAGUAGUGGCAAGUCCAAUCUCCUAUUUUGAUCCUCACUUCUUAUUAUGUCUCGGAAAAUACCCCUGCUGUUUAAGGAGGCUGGGCACCAACUACUGAAAGACGAGAGAUUUUCUAGGUCGAUGAUCAUAGGCAAGAGGGAACACCCAGACUGCAGGCAUGUGAGUGAGGUCACCUUAGAACCGCUGCCUCAAUCAAGCCACCAGAGGACUGCUCUGUGUAAGCCCAGAAAGAGUCAGUUGAAGCAGAAUGAGACUGCUCUUGGAGGAUUUGCCUAGUAGUUUUGAUGAGGAGUCAGAGAAAUCUUCCUGAGAAGUUGACAAGUUCUCAACAUCAAAAGAGAUAAAUACCGUUUCAACAUCUGGAAACUUACAGAUUCAAGCCUUAUAACACCUUCCUCUAGUUUAACCAAUUGCUGAGUGAAUUAACAAAGUACAUAUUAAGGUCAUAGAAAAUCUUUAAAAGUGUGUGUAGGAAUGAAUAUAUUUAAUACCACCGGACUGUACACUUCAAAUGGUUAAGAUGGUCAAUUUCAUGUGAUGCACAAUUUACUACAAUAAAAACAUGGGAGGUAAAAGUGUGUGUAGGAAUGAGGGCAGAAUAUGAGAGGGGUUACUCUUAUUAUACACCCAAGAAAAAAGGUUUUUUUCUUGUAUUUUUGUUUUUCUUGUUUUCUCCUGUUUAAGAAAUUUAAAUUUAAAGGCUUCAAAAGACUAAGAGUAUUUAUUAUGAACUUUUUGAUUUGCACAAUAUCACAUGGGAAGGGUGGAGAGGGUCAGAGUACAAACUGAUAAUUCUAUACAUGGGUGAAUUCUAAAACACCUGCCUAGAAUAUCACGGGACUAAGACUUUUACCACAGAGUAGAACAAUGAAGUUAAUUUACCUAAUGGCAUUAUGCCAACCUGGCUCAACUAGUUUUUUUGAAUGCCCAAAUGCUCCCUUUUAGGUGUUUUCAUUUGUUGUACAGCUAUUACAUGAAAUUAUGUAAGAUUCCUUGAAAGCAUAUCUGGUGCUUUAGUGACCUCCCAUCAGUGAUUUUUAAAGUAUGUAUGCAUCCAAUACAAUUACAAAGGUCAGCUCCUUCAAUAAUAAGUUAAAAUAUAGAAAAAAUUAUAUUUUAAUGUAACUUUUUGCUUUUGUAUAUUAUACAGCUGUUGCUUAUAUAGGUUUUUGUGUAUAAUUCUCUAUUGUGUCUUUUUAAUUUGAUAUACCAUUGUAAUUUUUGAUGCUAUUUAUAAAAGCUUCAUAAUUAUCACUCUGAACAGUUACAUAAGUUUUCUUUGUCGAUGCAUGGGAUUUGCGAAACUAUUCUCUUAUAGCUGGAUAUUUGGGUGGUUUCCAAUUUUUGGCUGCUAUUUUAAAAUGCUAUAAUAAAUAUAUUCUUUUAUAUUUUUUAUCUUUUAAAGUUCUUUUGUAUCAUUUCCAGAGAACAAAUUCUGUUAAUCAAAAUAUUUGUCUAUGUUUUACAUAUUGCAAAACUGUCUUCCAAAAUGAUCACAGCAGUUAUAUUCUGCCACAAAAUAUUAGAGUUGUUAACUGUUUUCAUUAUUUUGUUGACUUUA